CCUCCAGUUGUGUUAUCGGAGGAUUUUGUUUUUGAUGUACUGGCAGAGGCAGAACGGAGCAGUGGUGCAGUGAUUCCUCCGGGUUCGUAGACGAUGGUGCGACGGACCCGACAGCCUCUCCGACACCAGCAGCUUCACGUAACGAUGCAUCAGGGACGAGGCUGUAGCUGGGGGGGAUUUUGGCGUCCUCCCGCUGGCUGGAUGAUGACCUGGAGUCCGUGUCCUCGUUCCCCAGCAGAGGCCUCUGUUCAUCUGACUCAACGUCCUCCGAGUCGACUGCCGUGACCUCGGUCACGAGGACGAGAUGGGACAUUUUCCUCUUCAGCUUCUUCUGGUGAAAGUGUGACAUUAGAUCAUUAAAGUUUCAAGAAUGGAAGCUUUGUAAUGUGACACAAAAACGAAACUUCUGUUUCCUCGAAGUCCUUUCAGCUGAAUUAUGUUUGUAUCGAUUUCGAGGGAGGACUUAACAUGGGAACACAAGAGAAAUCAAUAAUGCAGCAGCGGCAGGACAAAUCGAGCAACAGAUGUACUCGACUCACUCACCUGGGUGUCGUUCGUUGCAAAGCCGCCCUCCUCUAAAGUUUCACCAGACAACAAGUUGUGACAUCCUUCUCUCUGCUUGCACCUGGGUAGUUUAGCCCUCAGCCUAUUUCGGUGGCUUCUCUGUGUCAAUCCUCUCGCUCCUGUCUUCCCCCCAGGCCUCCACCACACAGAUGGUUUGGUUGCACGCAUCACACAUCAGUCAUCAAACACAGCGUUCAUUACUGACUUUACUGACAAUAAAUGUAUUUUAAGAUGUUGAUUCAUGUGAGAUUUUCCUUUUUAUUGUCUCUAACUGUGAGUCAGGUCAUGACAAAGUGUUUGUGUUCAUUUGCUUUUUGUGUCAUAUUGUGUCAUCAUGUUGUCUUAUUAUGUCACUCCUCCUUGUUGCUGCAGUGUUGUUAUCUCAUGUAAGUCUUGUUGUGUCAUCUAGUUAUAUUCAACAUCAACAAAACAACAGCUGGAGUGACACAGCAGCUGAUUCUGCACCCAGUCGGCCACAGCCACCAGCAGCUUGUGUUUCACCAUCCUCUCAUUCACCUGAAUCAGCCGGAUGUCUAAAUUCACGCUGAUCUGAAACACCGAAAACAAGUUUGAGAAUCACUCAUUUCACAUUUCAGGAUGAAGAUGAUGACAGUGGUGAGGAAGAUGGAGACCAGGCUGACAGAGAGGCAGAGGACCCAGUAGUCGCUGACGGUGAUGUAGAGGUGGAGAGUGGAGAAGACGGCACACCACACCACCACAUACAGCACCUGGGGGAGAGAGAGAGAGCAGAGGGAUAUUAUAAAGGACGUGUUUUAGAGUCAGGUGUUUGUACAGUAUCUACUUUAAAACACACUAAUUGUUGUUCUUAUUCAUACUGGUUAUUAUUAGAUGUUUCCUACUGCACUUUCAUUCAUAAUUUGAUUAAUUCAGACUGAUGAAGCCUCAUAUUAGCUUCAGAUAUGACUGGAAUUGGAUCAUUUUUGUACUGGAUAACAAUAUUAUUGUAAUUAUUGCAUGGAUUUUUGUUAGGAGGGUUUUUUUUAAUGGUCAGUAUGAACAGUAGGAAUGAUUACAGCGAGCAAAAAAACUGUUUCAAUGUUCAUUUGGGUCUGUGAGUAAUGUUUUAAUGUGUGCACAUUAUUCUGCAACUCUGGUUUUAAGUGAGGUUUUUUUUUUUUUAAGCUCAACAUAUGUUUGUUCAGAGCAAAGAGCUGUGGGCUGAUGAUACAUGGACUAAACCAAAACUGCAUAUAUUUACAAUGAUAAAACCUGAAUGUACUCUGAAUUAUGUUGAGUAUAAUUUGUCUAAAAAAACACAAAAAAUAAAAUGUAUGUGUUCUUCAGGUGUGUGAACAAAAGAAAAGAGUGUGUGUGCAAAGCUCUGCAGCUGUUUUGUAUAGUUUGUAAGAAAUUCUGUGACAAAUACAGAUGCUAAAUCAUUAAAAAUACUAAAAAUAAGACAAAAUAAACACAGAAACACAG